UCUUGUGGAGGACGUGAUGGUUUUGAAGGAGCAAAUAAGAGCAUUUGCACAGACAAUGGGAGGACCUCUGCUUAAGAGUGUCUGUACGCAAACAGGAGAUUGAAGACGACUCAAUUCAUGGAUUGUGUUCAAUGAAAAAAAUAAAGAGUUGUGUGUGUGGCUGGUGCAGAUGGAAAACAAAGUUCUGCAGGCAGCAGAUAUUAGUAUUGAAGAAAUGAUUGAGAAGUUACAGAAGGACUGCAUGGAAGAAAUAAACUUGUUCAGUGAAAGCAAGUUACAAUUAAAGCAGAUGGGUGACCAGUUGAUCAAGGCCAGCAGCAAGACAAGAGCAGCUGAGAUCGAUGACAAGCUCAACGAAAUUAACGAUCACUGG